UACGUAGGGUGCGAGCGUUAAUCGGAAUUACUGGGUGUAAAGGGUUCGUAGGCGGUGCGGCAAGUCGGGAGUGAAAUCUCUGGGCUCAACCCAGAGGCUGCUUCCGAAACUGCUGUGCUUGAGUGUGGGAGAGGCGCGUGGAAUUGCAGGUGUAGCGGUGAAAUGCGUAGAUAUCUGCAGGAACACCCGUGGCGAAAGCGGCGCGCUGGACCACUACUGACGCUGAAGAACGAAAGCUAGGGGAGCAAACAGG
rnacentral:rRNA from 1 species